rnacentral:rRNA from 1 species
UACGUAGGUGGCGAGCGUUGUCCGGAUUUACUGGGCGUAAAGGGAGCGUAGGCGGAUUUUUAAGUGAGAUGUGAAAUACUCGGGCUCAACUUGAGUGCUGCAUUUCAAACUGGAAGUCUAGAGUGCAGGAGAGGAGAAUGGAAUUCCUAGUGUAGCGGUGAAAUGCGUAGAGAUUAGGAAGAACACCAGUGGCGAAGGCGAUUCUCUGGACUGUAACUGACGCUGAGGCACGAAAGCGUGGGGAGCAAAUAGG